rnacentral:rRNA from 1 species
GAACGCGAAGAACCUUACCUGGUCUUGACAUGUACGGAAUCCUCCAGAGACGGAGGAGUGCCUUUGGGAGCCGUAACACAGGUGCUGCAUGGCUGUCGUCAGCUCGUGUCGUGAGAUGUUGGGUUAAGUCCCGCAACGAGCGCAACCCUUGUCAUUAGUUGCCAUCAUUCAGUUGGGCACUCUAAUGAGACUGCCGGUGACAAGCCGGAGGAAGGUGGGGAUGACGUCAAGUCCUCAUGGCCCUUAUGACCAGGGGCUUCACACGUCAUACAAUGGUCGGUACAGAGGGUAGCCAAGCCGCGAGGUGGAGCCAAUCUCACAAAACCGAUCGUAGUCCGGAUUGCACUCUGCAACUCGAGUGCAUGAAGUCGGAAUCGCUAGUAAUCGCAGGUCAGCAUACUGCGGUGAAUACGUUCCCGGGUCUUGUACACACC